rnacentral:sRNA from 1 species
GAGAGAGAGAGAAAGGGAAGAAAGUCCUGGAAGUGCCAAGUUUCUUUCAUAGCAAUAUAUAUAUCAAGUGUCUCCAAUCUUACACAGGAAAAGUUGUCCCAGUCUGAAUUGUAGCCCUACACUUCUCUAAAUGGUGCUUCCUUCUCCCAAAAUGCAUCAGGAGAGUUAGCAGACACUCAAAUUUCUUUAGAAAACUAUAUAAUGUUUAUUCCAAAUAUCAACCAGAGAAUUUCUUUCUUUCCUUCCUUUUUGAAAAAAAUGUGCAAUAAGUGGUUUGUCUGCAUGUAUUUCUGGGCACUGUGUAAGUACAGUACCUAUAGCAGUCAGAAGAAGGUAUCAGAUCCGUUGAAAUGUGACUUCUCCACUGGAAGUGAAGGGUCAUGAGGAGGAAGAGAAGACACAGAGGCACUGGAGGACAGUCAAUGUUCUGUCACAUCUUAUUGGACUUUUCAUGGCACUAAUAAAAAUAAAAUCCAUAAUGAAAAAUAGUCUAAAUAUUGAACAAUGGAUUUAUCCACUUUAUUAAAAUUAAACAGUAAUAUUGAAUAUAUACUGUUUAUUAAAGUCAAGACUUAAGUAUGGAUUCUUAAAACAGAAUCCAGGUAUUUGUACAUAUUUACAUGUUAUACUCCAGAUCAGACAGAUUUCAAGUAUAUUUAUUUAACUACAAAGAAAGCAAACACUCAGUGGGUAAAAGCUGAAGUUUGGGAAACAUGCAGGAAAGAUUACCCCAGGUGUCUCUAAUGGACUGUGCAGCAUAGACAAGUUUUAGCUGGUCAAAUAUUAAGCACCUCAUUUAUGCAACCCAUGGACUGUAGACAUGACAUUGAACAUUUGUCCAAUAAUUGCUGCUGUAAGAAUCAUAAGAAUCAUAAGUCUUAUAUUAGUCUCAUGAGUUAAAAUUAAGUGACAGCAAGGUAGUGGUCCUUUUUUGAAAGCUAUCAGGAAGGCCAUUGGCUCUUCAAUUUCCUUGAUUUUCUAAAAUAUUCAUGAAUUUUUCAAUGAAGGCCUACAUAAAUGUUCAAAGCCAUCUCUUGACUUCUUCGUAUUGCCUUAAGUUGGUAAUGAGUCUUCUACCUCACACUCUUUUCUUUCAGGGAUUCCUUUGCUAUCCUAGACAUUGUGAUCUCUGACCUUAUCACCUUUGUUAUGUAAGUAAAAUGCAGCCUCUAGGUAUUCCAAAAGGAAAUAUUGGGAAGGAUGUGAUUCCCCCUUCCAAAGUCAUUACUGAUAAAGUUCCUGAGAAGUGGAUAAUUCUGUCUAGACUGAAGAUAAACAAUCUAAAACAGUCAACUAUGAGAAACUGACAACACAGCAGGUGACCCUCAGCUAACUGUAACAGAAAUAACAAUUGAGCAUAGACAUCUAAAAGAAUGCCAUAUAGGAUAGAUGUUCUUCAAAGAACAUCCCAAAUGUUUUAGUUAUUGUAGGAAACUAUUUUUUCAUUUACUAGCCAAUCAAUCUCCUUAUUCUCUGACUAGCUAUAUAAAUCUCUCAGUCCUUUGUUAAUCAGAUAAGUAAGAAUUACUGACUUUUAUAUUUAUGAAGCUCGUUUGUUUUAAAUAUAUACAUUAGCAAUAGUAUAAAUCUAUAUUAAAACAUUCUUUGUCAACAUGUCUUCUGGAUGAUUGUUUCAAAUGUGUGAAGGGCAUCUAUAUGCAUGCUAGGACAAUAAUAAAAAAUAUCAAAUUCCCUAAUGAAAUCAUGAUGUAAGUGGGACAAUAGAUAGAAAAUGAAGACUGAACUUAAUAAAAAUGACAAUUUGUGUUGGAAUUAAUAUGCUACUGAAAUUCAUCUCAGUCCAGAUAUCUCAGAGAAAAUAUUCUUUUGGAAUUAAUAAUUUUAGUCAGAUACAUUGAUGCUACAUUAACUAUUAUUGAAAGAUUUCUAACCUGUUAAUCAGAAGUAAACAGCAAAAAAGUUAUUCAAUACAGUUACUGAGAUCCACAUCAACGGUGUACUUCUUUGAGCUUUUCAUAGUUAAUUAUUUCAGAAUUUCAUAUUUGCACAUAAUUAUUUUAAUCGAAUGCAGCCCUCAUUCCUUUGCUCCAAUCCUCCCAGCCCUCAGUAUUCUCCUGCCACUUUUCCAGCCCAAUUUCACCUGCUCCAUUUUUAAAAAGCUCACUGAGUCCAUUUAGUGCUGCUUCUACAUGAAUAAAUGUAAGACCAUCUACUGAAUAGCCUCCCAGGGAACACAUACCCAAAUAAAACUGACUUUCCCCCCAAAACAUCAGUUGCCAAUAUCUCCUCACAAAACAGUGAAACAUCAUGUGCUCUUCCCCUAUCCAUAUUGUGAUGUUGAAAUAACCUUUAAAAAUUCAAUUACAAAGAAAACAAAUGUAACUCUUCCUGUGACAUUCAGUAGUUAAGUUCAUAAGAAUAAGAAACAAUUGUGUAAUCACUUAAUGAAAAACUGAAAAUUUAAUCCUUUCUUGCAAUCAUUUUUUUGCUCUUUAUUGCACAACAAGGCAGGCUUAUUUUUGUUUCCGUUUUUUAAAAAAGACCACAGUUUAUAGUUCACUGUGUUUUAGUUACAAUAUUGAAAGAAUCACUCAUGUUUUACUAUGGGUAGAGGGUUUGUUUUACUUAGUAGAAAUGAAUCACAGUCUUAGUGCUUGUAUAAUAAGAACCUUAACAUAUGGUUAAAUACAUACUUCAUUGUCUGACCAGUGACGUGCAGUAUAAUUCCAAGUAAUUUAUUUAAGAACAAAAUGUUAAUAAGAAAGAUGAAACUUGAUAUAUUUAUUUGAAAUUUUUUAUUAUAAUCAUACUAUUAUAUGAUAUGAUUAAUUUAAUCGUCUCUAGGGCUUGCCUGACCUGCUCCUGUUGUUUGUGAAGUGACCGUCUAUCAGGACACAGCAAUUAAGACCAUGUUUCAUUUUCCAAUUCUCAGAAACCAAAGGCUCACCCCUUCCUUUGUUGUAUGCCUUUUCUUCUUCAAGGGAGCAAAGCCAAAUAUUCCUCAGAAUCCGGGCAUAGGUGGUUUCAUGAGAAAAUAUGACUACAGCUUAAGAUGUUCAAUUUAGGACAUUAAGCCCAUAUACACACCCUCUUAACCUUGUAACCUAGCAGCAGAGCCUGAAAACGCUCAUAUUUCCUAGGGAAAUACAAAAGGGUAUGUAUGUAUGAGGGUGGUGAGUUUACUUCCGACCUUAGGGCUCUGUAAGCCACAAUGCAGUCUGACAAAAUUUGAAGACUUUGCAACAUUUUUGUUUUGCUGUUGUUGCUUUUCUGAGGUAUGAUCUCGUUGUAUAAGGUAGCCUCGAUCUUUAAAUCCUCCCUCUUGAGCCUCUGUGAACUACAUUAGCAGGAGUAUGAUUAAAAUUAAAUGACUACUUGUUCCAAAGUAAAUCAGAUCCUAUUGCAUUCUCCAAAUAUUUUAUUUAGUAUUUCCUAAAAUAGUUUUAAUAUUGAGAAAAAAGAAAAAUGUACUUUCGCUUGAAUGUUUUCACUCAACGUUGAUUUUUAACCUCUUAUAUUUUGCUGGAACAACAACAACAAAAAAGAUGUGUUAGAAAAUCACAUAAAAAGGUACUCUCAUUUAAAAAUUGUGACCUUUCUGAGAGAGACAAGCUUGGCUGAAAAUCAAUACUCAGAUGUUUCUCUGGGAAAAGUUUUUUAAAGGCUCAAACAUCUCUAAGAUAUAGGUCAGCAUGCAGCAAUCUGACAAGAAGCAUCAUUUUUUUUUCUAAAUUCUGCAGAAAGCAUUUGCCCACACAGAGAAUCCACAGACAUGCAUGGUAGUUGUAGCCACACAUCUGCAAAUAUUUACAUAGGAAAGAACAGAAAGCAGUUAUCUGGUUCAGAGAAACUUUUAAGUUGAGGGGAAGGAACUAUAGCAGAAAAGGUUAAUUUGAAAUAUAAUGAAAAUAGUGUCUGUUAACGCAAGGGAGUGAUCAAGUAAUGUCAAGACAAGCAUAUAUGAGGACUAAAGUUUUAUAUAUAAGUACAUCAAAUGACAAUCACACAAAAAAUUCAGCUUUUGAUGAAAAAUCUUAAUUUAUCUUUCAUUUAUGCUCACAAAAUAGUUUUAAUUUUGUUUCAUAGAUUCUUUUGAAAAAUUAACACUAAUUUAUCAAGUAACCUUUUGCUAACUUGCCACACAAAUCCAUCACUAUAAAAUCAUACUUUUCUUUCUUGUUCAUUGCAAGAUUUUAUCUUGACGUAGCCUUUAACAAUGCUCACCUUUAAGACAGUACACUUUAAAACGACUCACAAUCUAUUAAAAGAAAUACUUUAAAAGACCAAGGUCUGUUUAAAAAUGCAAAAUCUCUUAACAGUUGGCUCCAUAGUAUCAAAACUAAGAUGUAUUCCUCUCUUACUCCAUUUUGGUAGACAUCUAUAAAAACAAUUAUAAUUAAGCAAAACCAAAAUCAAGCAGUAUACUUCCAAAUCUUAUAACUCCAUUCCUGAUAUAUUGGACUUAUUCAUAAUUUUUCUGGGAUCAAAGCAUUUUGGGGUGGCCCCACUCCUAUAGCUCUGCCACCCUCAGGGACUAUGUCCUCUCUGACGACAGACGCAGGACAGCUCUCCUCCACUACUCCUAUCACCAUCCCUGUCUGUUUCAGGGCCCUGAUGUCUCAGUUAUGCUGAGGUUCCAAUGCCACUGAGACUGUUUUAUAUCCUCUUCUCGACUCUCACAAUGCUAACUCUCAGCUGUUCUCUAAGACUUCAAACCUAAAGCCCUGUAGGAAACUCUUAUACAUGGCCAGCCUUCGAAUUUGAGAUGUUCACUUACUGGCCCUCCUUUGGACCACCCCUCCUGUGUCAUAAGUUUGAGGAAAUAUUAACGUAGAGCAUUUCACCAAAAUGACGUUUGUCUCUUGACAAUAAAAGCUGAUAUUUCAGGCCAGCUAGCCAGCAUCUAAUUUCCAGUAACACAAACAUUUAACUCCCAUGGAUUUUUAACACACACACACACACACACACACACACACACACACACACACACACACACACACACAUCACUCAUUGCGUCAUUGAGGAACUCUCAAGCUUCCCUUCUAAAAUUUCACAAGCUAGGUCACAACUGCCUAUAUUUCUCUCGGUAUUCAUAAUUUCUAAGUUCCUACAACUCACAAUCUCACCUCAGUUACCCUAAUCGGAGGGGGGGAAACACAAACAAACAAACAAAACCAAAACAAAUUAAUGUGAUCAAAUGUGUCAUAGCAAUAACUCAGAUUUCUGGUACCAAUUUCUGUCCGAGUUUGCUUUCUGAUGCUGUGAUAAAACACUGACCAGCAUCCAACUGGGAGAAGAAUGGUUUUAGUUUGGCUUAUGGGUUUAUCAUCAUUAAAGGAAGAGCAGGCCAGAUACUGGAAGUAAGGCCUGAAGCAGAACUAACUGUGGAGGAAGCCUUCACUAACUACCUUUCCUUGGGUGACUCAACUGUCUUUUAUAUAGACACUAGAUGUAUAGCUGUCUUAAUUAAGGUUACAAUCUCUGUGACAAAAUACCACAACCAAAGGCAUCUUGAAGAGAUGACGGUUUAUUUCAUUUAUACUUCAUCACUGCUCAUCAUCAAAGGAAGUCAGUGAAAGAAUUCAAGAUGGUUGUAGGCUGGAGCUGAUAGAGAUAAGGGUAUCUAGCAUAACUGCCUCCUCCAUAUGUGUUUCUCAGGCUGCUUUCUCAUGGAACCCAGGACUAACAACUCAGAUGGCACCAUCCUCACGGUCUGGGCUAGAACUAAUCUACCUAUACAUAUAUUAAGAUUUUUCAUUACUUAUAAAUAUUUGAAUUAAAAUUUUAUGCCAAAUAUCUGGUUUUACAUAAAAUAUCAAAGUAGAACCUUGCAGGUUUUCAAACAAUUUUCAAAUAUUUUAGAAUAAUUGUCAGUUACAAAGUAGAAACAUUUUUUAACAAAUAAAAUAGUAAUUUUUCAGUUCUCAGUUCUCUGCAAGGAUUUCCUCAACAAGGUGUGUUUUAAAUAUGUUUCCUUUGUAAAAAAAAAUAAUCUCCAGAUGAAAGAAAUACACUAUAUUGGCAAAAGUUAGUGUUGAGAUUUUAAAAUAGCAAUUUAAAUAGUUUGGACAUAUAUAUUUAUACCAUAGACAUUUUUAGAAAUAAUUUGCAAAAGAAACGAAGACUUGCAGCGCAUUUUUUGAGGGCUUUGGGGAGAUGAGAUUGUCAACAGGCCUGGUGCUCAGGCCUGCAUAUUUUCAGAAAGCUUUAUUAUAUUCAGGCCUGUUUCCUGGAAGAUGAAUUCCCAGUUAUUGGAGUAGUCUGGCUGAAAAGGUUCUCUUGGGGGCUCCAGAAAGGAUGGUUGAACAUUCAUGACCAGUAUGGACUAUUUAAAAAAUGUUUUAGUGUAUAUAGAUCCUGCAUAAAACAUUAGCCACAAACACCCAUUUAGUCAGAUAGUUCAUGAUAACAAACUGAUUUAUACUGAAUGGCUCUUCUAGCUUUGGUGGAGUUUUAGCUGUCAGUAGCCAACAACAGAAAUGCAGGCUCCAAGCAAGGGGUGGUGGUUAGUACAAGCCUCUAAUCUACCACCAUUCAGGAGACACAGACAGGAAGAUGCCUGAGGUCUAGGUUAGCCUGGUCUGCAGCACAAGUUGUGAGAUAUCUAGUUACACAGAGAAACACGGUCUUGAGACACACAACAAAGUUAGAUAGAUA